rnacentral:rRNA from 1 species
UACAGAGGGUGCAAGCGUUAAUCGGAAUUACUGGGCGUAAAGCGAGCGUAGUCGGUUAUUUAAGUCGGAUGUGAAAUCCCCGGGCUCAACCUGGGAAUUGCAUUCGAUACCGGAUAGCUAGAGUUCGGCAGAGGGAAGCGGAAUUUCGGGUGUAGCGGUGAAAUGCGUAGAUAUCCGAAGGAACAUCAGUGGCGAAAGCGGCUUCCUGGACCAGAACUGACGAUCAGGCUCGAAAGCGUGGGGAGCAAACAGG